ensembl:lncRNA
GAAGGACGCAUUUGAGAAUAAGUAUUUGUCUACUAUUUCAGUAAGAGGAAAUACAAAAAAGACAGUUAAAUGCGGAUAGCUGUGGAUAGACAUUUCUCUGAAGAAGUAUUCCUGUCCUAUUUUCCGGCUUGACGCCCAUGUAGUAAAGUUACCGCUUCCAGUCAGUACCGCAGAGUACCAACAGAUGGCGCUCUCUGUCAUGUCUCUGACUCGGUCCUCCAUGCUGCCUGUGACUGAGAGCGUCUCACAGCACGCUGUUUGAUUCAAAGAAUAUGCAGUGCAUUUGGAGCUCACUCGGAUUCAGUUAACAAGGCGGCUCUGCAUGCAGUCAGUCAGGUGGAAAAGAUCCUGGAAAAGUUUGGAGAUCAGAUGAGAUGGAUGCAGACUUACAAGUGAACAGAAACACAGGUUUAAACUCCCAGCUCCAAACACACUUCUCUGGCUGGGGCGAUGGUCAUCCUCUCAGGCCAUUAUUGACACUGUGUGUGAACCCAUCUCUCUGCAAAUCUGCAGAUAAAUCUUCCUGUGUUUCGGACUCACUUUUUAUGGCCAGUGGGACACGUCCUGGUCCAACCCCCAACAUCCCUCUAGCAUCACAGGCUAACGUGAUUGGAACCACUUGUAGAUGAGUGUGUAUCCUCUGGGCUGUACUUUAUUGUUUUUAUUUGAGGCAGAUGCAUGAGAGGAGAUUUGACUGACACCCAAUAAGCUCAACUCACCUCGUCUAACCUGUAGGCCCCUCCUUAACUCCAAUGCAGCACCACGUUCACUCUAGACUAAUUGGUAGCACUCUCCAUUUUAGGCCACCAACUCUUUGUGGUAUUAACUUCUAUCUCCUAAUAAAAACUGUGAGGAUGAGGAAAAGCCA